rnacentral:lncRNA from 1 species
UCCACCUUUUUUAUGACCCCAGCAAGAAAAAUCAGCAUUGUUGGGAGCACCAGGGACUUGUCGCUGGGAAAUAUUUGCACAAAGACAUAGAUGGCGGCACCGACCUGGAAGGUGAGAUUGAGCAAGUGCCGUCGCCAAAGCGAACUGUCCUCGAGAGAAAAUGCAGUGAUGGUGUCCGGACCGCCAAGAUGUAACAAGAGAAAUGAGGCCCAAAAUGCCCGAAGUGCUCUAUCU